UACGGAGGUCCCAAGCGUUGUUCGGAUUCACUGGGCGUAAAGGGUGCGUAGGUGGUGGGGUAAGUCGGAUGUGAAAGCUCGGAGCUCAACUCCGAAAUGGCAUUGGAAACUACCCUGCUAGAGGAUUGGAGGGGGGACUGGAAUACUUGGUGUAGCAGUGAAAUGCGUAGAUAUCAAGUGGAACACCAGUGGCGAAGGCGAGUCCCUGGACAAUACCUGACACUGAGGCACGAAAGCUAGGGGAGCAAACAGG
rnacentral:rRNA from 1 species